UGCAUGUUUUAGUAGAGAGUAAUCUCUAUUAAGCAUGUCAUCUCAUUUUAUAUGGACCUUUUAUGUUUUAUUCUAAAUGAAACUUAAAAAUCAUAUAAUAUAACUAAGAAAAUUUUCAACGAUGGAUAUCUUGGUUCCCAUAACGAUGAAGAGCGCAGCAAAGUGCGAUAAGCAAUGCGAAUUGCAGAAUUCCGCGAAUCAUCAGAUCCUUGAACGCAACUGGCGCUAGGAGGCUCUCCUUCUAGCAUGUCUGUUUCAGUGUCUGAAAACAUCACAUCUAACUUAAUGUGGUUGAUGAUCUCAUGUUUUUUAAAUAUGAGCUAAUCUUCCAUUAAA
rnacentral:misc_RNA from 1 species